GUACUGCUGAGGAGUCCCAUAAUAGGAUGAAACGGCCGUCCACUGCAU
rfam:Schistosoma mansoni strain Puerto Rico chromosome 6, complete genome